rnacentral:sRNA from 1 species
GCCAGGCAUGGUGGCACACAUCUGUAAUCCCAGCAGCUCAGGAGGCUGAGACAGGAGGAUCGCGAGUUCAAAGCCAGACUCAGCUACAGCGAAGCACUAAGCAACUCAGUGAGAUCCUGUCUCUA